GCGAAGCUGAUGGUGAUGGAGGUUGGGUUCGAGCUUCACGAUUUCCGGUGGAUGGUGAUGAAAUGGAGCUAGGGAAAUUAGGGUUCUGUCUUGGGUGAUAAAGGGAUUUAUCACUUAUCACUUCCAAAGAGCACUUCUUUCUGGAAUAUACCAAACUGCUUCAGACUUUAUCAGACCCACAGCUUUCACAAAGAUCUUUUGCAGUUAAGCUCUUGAUACCAGUUUCAGAGAAAAGAAAAGAAAGUCACAGAUUCCAGAAAGAAGAAGAAGAAGAAAGAGAAGCUCCAGGAGAAGAGGAAAUCAGAAACGAAGAGGAGAGAAAGGAUCGGACAGAAACCAAGCACACACAAGUGAUAACUUGGCGCAUUGUUUUUGGCUGAUCGGGUUUGUAGAGGAUCAGUAAGUAAGAGGUAUCAAGAACUGCAUAUAAAAAUUAAUGCAUGGGAGAAGAAAAGGAAGAAAGUGUAUGGGGAGUGAAGAUGGCUGGAGCAGAAGGAGAAGCUGAUGGAAGAAAGAGCACGGAGGAAACAAGUGUAACAGCACAUGCAGAACUAAGGCGCAUAGAUUCUCUGAAUUUAGAGGCUGGAAGAGUUUCUAUGAAUGCACACAAGAAAAACAGCUUUGUUUGCAGGUGAAGUAAAAGAAAAAGAAUAACCAGAUGGAGAAUGAGCAUAAAGAAGCAAUAGAAGUGAACAUGUAAGAUAUUACUGUUUAAGGGAUGAUUGACGCACAGGACAAUAGGGCUUCCACAAUGGCUUAACAGAGAACAUGUAAAGGUUUGCAUGAAGGCCACAUAACCAUCCAAUUCUCUUGGCUUCGAAGCCAAGCCAAGGGACCAUCCUAUACUUACAACACAUUCUGUCAGACACAAAAAUGACAAAUCAGCCCCUUUUAUAACACAGCAUAAAUGAGAUAUUAUUAUGUCCAUCUCUUGGACAUUGUGGUCUUUACGGUGGUAGGGUUCAAUCUGGUAGCGUUUCAUUUUUUAAGCUAGAGGCAAUGUAAACAUUAAGAUAGGUGAGGAUAUUCCCAAGUCAGUUUCUCCUAAGAUGAUGACCCACAAUCGAUUACUUCUCUUUUGUUGAUCCUCAAUAUUAGAGCUUGGUUUAACUUAUUUAAGCUCGAUUUACUUAAACUUAAAAAAC